UACAGAGGGGGCAAGCGUUAUUCGGAAUUAUUGGGCGUAAAGGGCGCGUAGGCGGCUUGGCAAGUGGAUGGUGAAAUCCCUCGGCUUAACCGAGGAACUGCCGUCCAAACUGCUUCGCUUGAGACCGGGAGAGGUGAGUGGAAUUCCCAGUGUAGCGGUGAAAUGCGUAGAUAUUGGGAGGAACACCAGUGGCGAAGGCGGCUCACUGGACCGGUAUUGACGCUGAUGUGCGAAAGCGUGGGGAGCAAACAGG
rnacentral:rRNA from 1 species